rnacentral:tRNA from 1 species
GGGGAUGUAGCUCAGCUGGGAGAGCGCCGGCUUUGCAAGCCGGAGGCCACGGGUUCGAAUCCCGUCAUCUCCACCA